CUGACGUCACGGACGGGCGGCGCCGCGGGAUGUUCCGGGGAGAACAGCGGUGACGUGGGUGCCCCGUUGUCUUCAUCCACCGUGACAUCAGCAAGGAGCAGAGAGGAAGUGGCCCCGGACCCGCGGCCGGCAGCUAGACAAAUGCACUGCUGGGACUGCCAUGCCCAGCACGGGCCGCUCCCCUGGGGCUCUGCGCGUAGAGCCGACUCCUUGCUUGUACCUGCCUGCCUUCCGGCCUGCACCGGGCAAGAAACGUGGGGAGGGGAUCCACAGGCCAAGGCGCCGCACAGUGAUGCCCUGCUCCAUCCCAUGACAGGGCCUGGAAGGGGACUGGCAGCUGCAGAAAUGGUUUCCGGCCUUCCCACAUCCCCCACGCACUUCCCGGUGGGGGCAUUUUUAAAGUCGAAGGAGACACAUUCAUUCAAAUAUGUAUUAAGUGCCUGCCAGUGGCUCUGAGAAUAGAACAGUGAGCUAGA
rnacentral:lncRNA from 1 species